UAUUAUACAAUAUGUUAUAAUAAAUAAUUAUAUAAAGGGGAAUGAGGGUGAAAAUCCCACGCUGGCACGCAACCGUAAAGUUCGAUUAUUUAUAAAUCGGCAAAGUCGGAAUACCUUAAAUAAUAAUCGAGUCGAG
rnacentral:ncRNA from 2 species